GAGGGUCUAGCUCAGGGGUAGAGCACGUGCUUAGCAAGCACAGGGCCUGGGUUCAAUCUCCAGCACCUCCA
rfam:Camelus ferus unplaced genomic scaffold scaffold1050, whole genome shotgun sequence.